CAGUUUUCCCAAGGUCUCGAUAUAGCUAAUGUCAUUAGAAGGUCAAGUUGCGAUGAAGCCAUCAGACAACAAUUUCAUCUCUAUCAACUACACUUAUUGUGUGUCAGGAGAAAGCCUCUGAGCUCUGCAUGAGAUACAUUGAGGAAUAAGCAGCAAUACAGAAACAUGGGAAUACCCUUGCUGUCACUUGAGCAGAGAAGGUCAAAUAUUCUGAAACCGAAACAGUGUCAAUUGCAGAUAUGAAGAGGCUUGAUUGAGUUGGAGAAUAUGGCAGGAGAAAAGCUUCCUUUCUCUCUGUUACUAUUUCAAAUUCAACACUGUCCUUUGCCCGGCAAAUGCUACAAGAAGAGUCACAGCUAAACUCUUCAUGAAGGUAAC